CAGCUGUGUGUCUAGUUCUUUGACCUGAGGUGCAUUGACAGUUCAUCUUGAGUGUGUUAUAGUUUGACUACACCAUAACUCGAUCUUCUAGCCAUUCGAAAUUCUGAGGUGUAUGUUGGCUGUAGCAUAUUCAUUGUAGGAACCAGAUUGCACCAAGAUGGGAUCUAUCAAUCUCAGUAGAUGAGAAGAGUAGUCAUAUGAUGAUCGAAAGAUCGAGUCCUUAAGUCCAUGGCC
rnacentral:lncRNA from 1 species